rnacentral:misc_RNA from 1 species
GAUGAAGAACGCAGCGAAAUGCGAUACGUAAUGUGAAUUGCAGAAUUCAGUGAAUCAUCGAGUCUUUGAACGCACAUUGCGCCCCCUGGUAUUCCGGGGGGCAUGCCUGUCCGAGCGUCAUUGCUGCCCUCAAGCACGGCUUGUGUGUUGGGCCUCCGUCCUCCUCCCGGGGGACGGGCCCGAAAGGCAGCGGCGGCACCGCGUCCGGUCCUCGAGCGUAUGGGGCUUUGUCACCCGCUCUGUAGGCCCGGCCGGCGCUUGCCGAUCAACCAAAACUUUUUUCCAGGUUGACCUCGGAUCAGGUAGGGAUACCCGCUGAACUUAAGCAUAUCAAUAAGCGGAGGA